rnacentral:misc_RNA from 1 species
AAAGUAGCGCGGAAAGCGGAAGUAACUAGCAGACGCCACCUAAUCCGCUCGAUAUGUCAGUAAUGAGAUCGUGGUUUACCAAACCAUGAAGGUAAAGUUUGAUGUGGUGACAAGAAAGCAGGAUCGAUUCAAGCCAUAGUGUACCCAAGGAUGAUCGAUGCUCCAGACACGCCAACAAUAGCCAUCAUUGGCAAAUCUGUUAGGUUUAGGUGGCACUACAAUUCAGGAGAUUUGAAGGAUGAUCUUUAUGAGGUGGUUUUUGGUAUUUGGAAGAGUCCUGGGUUCCUGAAAACAAAGUUGAUAGCUGUCAACUCGAGUGGCUUUUCCUUAACAAGGCCCUCAUAUGAGUCAUCGGUAGGUUGGGCAGGAAAUCUGACAUCCUCUAUGGCUGUGUUUGAACUUUACAAUGUAAAGCUUGAAGAAAGCAAAACGUAUGGAAUUGUGGUAGAAUAUGGCCUCCAGCAUACCCCGUUGACCGACACAGUUCAGCUUCAAGUUGUGUACGGACUUCAAGCUAAAUUGAGACACACAGAUCCACCAAAAACUGCUACUCCACAACAGAGAAAUGGCACUACAGCGGUGUAUACCACUAACAAAGUUGGGUCUACGCGGGAAACAGUGAAAGAGCCCAGCGGUUCAGUGCCAAGAAAAACAUCGAAGAAAUUCUUCUUUAUGUUAGCGGUGGCAUCCGGAGUUAUCGUAUUUGGUGUCAUAACAUCUAUUGUGCUGAAGCGUUGGUGUCACCAUCGUAAAAAAGGUUCGACUGACGUGUUCGAGACAAACCUGCUUACCUCAGAUCAGUUAGCUUAGCUAAAUUAAGUCAUAUGAUAAUUGUGGGCAUAAUGCUAGUGCAUAGUUAGUAGAGGGGACUGGUUAUGAAACCCGGUAAACAUCAAAGGCCGAUGUCUUUGUUAUGGUUUCCCUUAGUCACGUGAUCAUGACCGUGCACAAGGAAAAGCAAACAUGUCGAUCGGAGUUACGUGAGUGUGCGGAAACUUACGCUGUAUUUCGCCGGAUUUUUAGCUUAGAUUAAUCUCGAUCCGAUGAGUGUUAUAGCUACACUAUUCAUUAGUCGUCAUGCCUGGAGAUAACCGCGCUGUGUUUGGCUGUGGGAGUUGUAGAAGAACGAUAAGAAUCGGUAUUUGGAAGUUGCCCGCAGCGAAGGACGAGGCACACAAGAAAUGGCAGGAUGAUUGGUUGAGUGAGAUCACAAAGACGCGUGAGAUCGACCAUGAAUUUCGAAAAAGGAUCGAAACGACAAGGUGUUUACCUGUGAAAAACACUUCGACGUAGAAGAUUUUGAAAUAUUUCAAACGGCGAAAAUGACGAAGGAGAAACUACGAUUCGGCGCCAUCCCUGCAUUAAACAUGCCAAGGAAAAGUCACGAGUCUGCGAGACCUACGCCAAGACCUGCUCGAUCGGUUGUCGAGGAGCACGAUCAACAACCUAAGGCAUGUUACAAGUCGUUUGGUGAAUUGUGCCGGCGAAUCACUGGCCUGAAAACCCUGAAAGGGUGGAAAUUGAAAACAAUGUCAGACAGACUUAUUCUGAAAAAGAUUGUAGAACCUUUCCUUCUCCCAGAAGUAGAAAUAAUGAUCGAUGACAGUCUUGCACACACUGUGAAAGCCUUUGGUCAUCCCCUCUAUGUUACUCACUAUCGUUCAGUCAGAAACAUUUCAGUAUGUGAAAUUGUAAGAGAGCUAGAGUGCUAUAAACUUUGCUGUGGAGUGGAAGCCAGUGAAUUAACAAGCCAGCUGUUUCAUCAUGUAAUUCCCAUAAAAUGAAGACCCACUUCAGGCAUGUUAGCAGGGUGAGCAGUUUCCCAACAAAGGUUUCUGGAGGUCAAAUGACUGCCAUCUCAUGUGCGAAAAAGAAGUCGGGGAAGGUGCAUGCCCACAAUGUUUGGAGUACCUGCUUUUCUCAAGAAAGACCAUAAAAGCAUGUAGAAAAAAACUGAAACUGUAAUCAAUCAAGUCAAUUCAUCAUUGAGGAGAUUAAUUACAUAGCAGCCAGUGUACAUUUUGUAUUAUGGAAUAAGAUACAAUUAUCUCAUGUCAUUUGAUGAAGAUUUUUUUAGUGCAUGUUCACCUAACAAUGACAGAAAGCAAGUUUCCUUUGAAUUUGUUGUCAUUACAAAAUUGUAGCCAUCUACAUUUCAUUUGAAUUUUCAAUGCAGUUACUGGGGUAGGAGGUUUUAGCGACAACAAAAGGACUGUGUCUAAGUAAAGUCCCUUUCAUGAAAAA